CCUGGGUUUAGAUGCAAGCAGAAACCCUCGCCACCGACGCGUCGGUGAGCAGAGAGCUCACGCCACGCCGCGGCCAUAGGGAGGCGGAAACCGGAGUGGUGGUGGAGGUGAGAGACGGUGGCGGCGGGUGAGAGGGAGGAGAUGAGGGCGUGGACAGCAGGAGAGAUUCGCCGCCGGCGAGGCGGAAGGAAUGGUAGCGGCCCGAGCUGGAGGGUCUUGUGUAACAAUUCCUAGUAAUUAGGGGUGCUUUGUGUAAAAAUAAGGGGGUUUACGGUAAAUUGAGACGUCCGUCAGAUGAUACCCGGUAUCAUACAGUAACCUGCAACACC
rnacentral:lncRNA from 1 species